rnacentral:lncRNA from 1 species
CUGACUUCUUGGUAAGUUUAUUCAGCUCACUAAACUAGCAGGAAAUAAAGCCCUUCUCCUCCCCUUCUCCCAUUCCCCCCCAAGUGCUAAUUCUGUGAGCUGAAUUUGCUCCUGUGAGCCAAAGGGCAGCGAUGUUGACAGGCUGCGUGAGAGCACUGGGAUGGGGAGGAAAGUGCCCUCCCUGCUUCGGUGGCAGUUUGAUUUCUGGUUCAUUUGUCUAUGUAAAAUGUCACCUUCAGAAAUCGCUUGUCCUCCCACUGAUAGCAGGAACACUGUAUCAUGAACUUGCACUUGAUGCAGGAUCAGAUUUUCACUGCCUGGUUAUCUGCUGAAUGUGGAAUGCUCCUGAGAGGAGGACAGGACAGAGGGAUGGCCCAGCCCAUGUGAUGAUUUGCAUCCUGAAACAAACAAGCCGGGAAGCUGCUUGUACUCAUCUGCUAUUAGAAAGUUCAAUGCGUCUUUCUGCCCAGCAUGUUGUACUUCAUGGGAGUUCCAGAAGCCUUGGGAACCUGCUUGCUGCUUGUCUUUUUCUUAGCCACAAAUCAAAAAACUUUCAGUUCAAGAAUCUCAUGCUUUCAUUCCAAAGCAUUGUGGACAUGGUGUUUUAUGCAUUUCUUAAAGUUGUUCAUUUGUAACACAGUUAAUACCUACAGGCUCAAGUCACUGUUUCAGUGUUUGGUGUCUUACAAAACAAAGCAAGCUAAGCGCUAUUUAGAGUUCCCAGUGUAAGGCCAGAGAAACAUGACAAACAGCUAGAGGAGAAAAGGAAACAUACUGUGGUGGCUGUCAGGAUGAACAAUGGUUUUGGCACACCUGCUGCCUAACUGCUGAGCUUUUCUAUGCUUGGCAGGAAAGGAACGAUUUGGAGGAUAACAGAAUGAUUUUGUAGAUGUUUUUGGUACGUUUCCAUCUUCUCCUAGGGAGAUAUAAUGGGAGCCCUUGCUUUAAAACAUAAAGUCUGGUGCAGGCUGUUAUCAUCAAACACGGGCAGGAUUUACUACUGUGCUUAGAAAUGGGCACGUCAGGGUUGUGCUAGACCUAAAGGCCCUUACACGUGAAUGCAGGAACAGUGGGGCACAACAGGAGGGUGGAAUACUUCAUGGAGUCAGAGCAAAUUAUGCUCAUGUUAUGCUUCUGAAUAAAUCAAAACAAACUACUUUUAUGCAAGAAAAAUAGUAGAAUCUGAGUAAUCGAGGAGCAAAAUGAAGGAAGCUGAAGCAUGUGUGGGAACGUGUUGGAGUGUGGCACGGUGUUCAGCUCUACCAAGAGCCAAGUGAUGUUAAUCAGUCGCUGUUACUCCUGGGAGUUGUCACAGAUGUAAGCUCUGAGAUUACUUCUUCCAAAGAGUUGUGUGUUGCUGCUAUGCCGUUUCACACACUUUCCAGUUCCAUCUUUUUCAGAUUCUCAUGUUUUGGAUAAUAAGAAUGUUUUGACUGAUCUGUUAAUGCAUGUGUAACUCCACGUUUUUCUUCAAAUUUCAAAUUUAAGCCAGCUCUUUGCUCCAGAAGAUUUGUAUUUGUAACCAGCGGGUUCCUGGAUCAGCAUAGUGUGUUGGAAUUGAGGAACUUGAGGGAACUGGGAAAAAAAAAUGUGGAAGAAUUUCCUCCAAGCCAACAGAGAAAACAUGCCCAACAUCACACAUUUUUGGAUCAAGCUCAGAAUAGUUUCACUUCAAAUGCAAUGACUUCAUCCUGAUUGACCAGAAGUGUAAGAUUUUUCCAGGUCAGCCACUCGGUUGCGUGUGCAUGCACAUGUGUGUAUGAUUUAUUCAUCAGAGGAAGGAUGCACAGGCUCUUAAUCUGGAUAGAAUCUUCUUAUUUUUUCCUGUUUCCCUUACAGGUGUGUGUAGGGAAGAGAGAGAUGUUGUAAUGUUGGUUAAGCAAUGGAUAAUAAGAAGAAUAAUACUAAGUAGUAUUGCAUCUGACCGCAUUCUUCUGGUAUUGGAGGAGAAUAUAGUAUCUGGGGUUUCUUAACAAAGCAUUUCUUGUGGCGUAAUGCAGUGGCUGAAAAUAUCGUGGUAUGUCAACGCCUUCUCAGUAAGGAUAGCUUUUCCCCAUGUCAGAUAAUAGUUCUGUGAAGGCUGCUUAUUCCAAGGAGACAGGACAAAAUCUGAUUUUGCUUUUUUGCCAUCCUCCUGAUGUUCUGGAUCUGCGCUUGUUGUUGUACCACGCUGCUAAUCUUCCUCACGCCCUGUUCUGGCACGUGUGAGAGUUGUGUCCCUUCAGCAGCUUUCCGUGUUGCCAGCGUAUUGUCUGGAGAUUUCUGGGGAAAACAAGUUGCAUUGUUCUGUGUAAGAAUGCUUGGAGACCUGGGCCUGGAGCACAUCAACCACUCUUGUUCUGACAGGAUUUAGCAGGAGGAGGUGUGGGCAGCGUGGGGUCAGGUGUGAGGAAGCCUGAGCCUUCCCCUUUGGAGGGCCCCCUAAAAGGUUUUAACAUCAGCAAAGAUAAAUUUUAAUUUAAAUAAGAACCAGAUAUAAAUCUAGUCAUUUUAAAGUGAAAAUUCCUGAGAACUAGGAAGGCAAAACAAAGCUAUGCUUGUGUGCAGCUUUCCUGUUGCCUGCUGUGAUUCUGCUUCCCAGCCUGUCAGUCACUUUAGGGGCCUCAUAAGUCUGGCAGAAAUUGUGUUGUGUCUGAGGCCAGCUCAGGCCUCUCUCUGGCCUGUAGUACCUGCGGGCCCUGGAGCAGUCUCCACAGCAUCUUCCUGAGGUGGUACAGGGCUAUAUCCAUGCCCCUGAAGGUGCUGAAUGGCACAGCCACACUCUUACAGGCCUUAGGGGAUCCCAGGCAUAGUUAGAAGCAAGGAAGUAAACACUUAUGUAAACAGUGUCAUCUCGAGACCAGCAAAACCCCCAUCCCUUGCUGUGUGCGAUGGAGCAGAAGAGCCCUUCAAGCUGCUGUCAUGCCUUGCCUGAGCCCUUUCCCCAUAGCGUCUCUGUUUCAGCCCCCAGCUUCGUUCCCUGGGGUGCUCUGGAGGAGCACAAGAGACACCAGUUUAGGCUGGGUGCUUAACUCUACAAGGGGAAAAAAAAAGCAACUCAGCGCUUAGUUCAGAAUGGUAAAUUAUUCUGUGCUUUCUAAAUUUCACAUGUUCUGGGCUGUACUAAGCUAGAAACAGUGUAAUCCUGUGUGCAUAGCAUGGCAGCAUGAAUGGUGGUCACUGGAAUGUUACGAAGUUUCAGCCAGAUAGCCUUGUCUGUAGUUUCCCAAGUGAUUUCACCCAUUGGUGUGCAAUCAGUCUUGGGACAUGACAGAAGUAACUACUUUUCAGUUAAAUUCAAACCCACAGCAGUGUUGAAAUAGCUGAACACUACUGAAAUAAGUUAAACUAAAUCUCUUAAGGUAAGCAUCCUUUUAUUUAGAGCCCAGGCUGAAAUCUUGUCUGAAGCUCAGAAAGGCUUCUGUUCCCUCUAGCUACUCUUUCAAUGUAGAAGGCAGUGGCUUAAAAAGUUGUUGCCUGGGCAGUGCUGUUGGGCCAGGCCUUGCUUUUUGGUACACAAGGAUGUGGAUCUUCCUUCACACUUGCUCUUUUUCAUCGUUUCAAAAUAACAGCAAUUAAAAAAAUACUUAAGGAUGUUUUUCUCUCCAUGUGUACCAGUUGGUUAAAAAUAUUUUAACUUCUUAGGACACGCACAGAAUUCUGUUUUGAUAUUUGACAGGCUUCUUUCAAUUGCAAGGAAGGAACUUUUUGAACUGCAUCUUCACAUUCUCUCCUGCUGGUGAGCAAUCUGCAAAUAAUGUGCAGAGAUGGCUUUGGUGGUGUGUACCUCCUCCUGAGCACUUUCUGUUUGUUUUGAAGGAAGCUUCUGGUGCCUCUCAGUAGUGUCGUUUCAUCACCAGGCAGAGCAAAAAUAAAUCAAAGCUGUUGGCAUCGUUCUUCUUUUACUUUCCCCAACACCCAACCAGUCUGUUCAGCUUGUGUUAUAGCGCAUUUGCACAGCUUCUGCUUCUGUGACCCGUUAGGACAGAGCCUGCUUGUACUCAACAAGAAUCUCUUUCAUGCUUUGUGGAUC